rnacentral:rRNA from 1 species
AAGACUAACUUCUGCGAAAGCAUUCGUCAAGGAUGUUUUCAUUAAUCAAGAACGAAAGUUAGGGGAUCGAAGACGAUCAGAUACCGUCGUAGUCUUAACCAUAAACUAUGCCGACUAGGGAUUGGGCGAUGUAUACAUUUAUUGACUCGUUCAGCACCUUACGAGAAAUCAAAGUUUUUGGGUUCCGGGGGGAGUAUGGUCGCAAGGCUGAAACUUAAAGGAAUUGACGGAAGGGCACCACCAGGAGUGGAGCCUGCGGCUUAAUUUGACUCAACACGGGGAAAC